CACGAACCGUACGAACGUUAUUCGGAAUUACUGGGCUUAAAGGGUUUGUAGGCGGCCUUGUAAGUCAGGUGUGAAAGCCCUCGGCUCAACCGAGGAACAGCGCUUGAUACUGCAAGGCUUGAGGGAGACAGGGGUAAGCGGAACUGAUGGUGGAGCGGUGAAAUGCGUUGAUAUCAUCAGGAACACCGGUGGCGAAAGCGGCUUACUGGGUCUCUUCUGACGCUGAGGAACGAAAGCUAGGGUAGCGAAC
rnacentral:rRNA from 2 species